GGUCCAGACUCCUACGGGAGGCAGCAGUGAGGAAUAUUGGUCAAUGGGCUUACGCCUGAACCAGCCAAGUCGCGUGAGGGAAGACUGCCCUAUGGGUUGUAAACCUCUUUUGUCAGGGAGCAAUUGGCGCUACGUGUAGCGUUAUCGAGAGUACCUGAAGAAAAAGCAUCGGCUAACUCCGUGCCAGCAGCCGCGGUAAUACGUAGGUGGCAAGCGUUGUCCGGAAUUACUGGGUGUAAAGGGAGCGUAGGCGGGAAGCCAAGUCAGCUGUGAAAACUACGGGCUUAACCUGUAGACUGCAGUUGAAACUGGCUUUCUUGAGUGAAGUAGAGGUUGGCGGAAUUCCGAGUGUAGCGGUGAAAUGCGUAGAUAUUCGGAGGAACACCGGUGGCGAAGGCGGCCAACUGGGCUUUAACUGACGCUGAGGCUCGAAAGUGUGGGGAGCAAACAGGAUUAGAUACCCCUGUAU
rnacentral:rRNA from 1 species